CGUCACUCGUUGCAAGCUGAAAUGCAGAGGGGGUGGUAAGGGGAAGAAAGGAGCAGGGAGGCAGAGAUUUGGAAGCUCCAUCACAGAAGAACUGGCCUCAAGAGCAAAGAGAUAGGGAGAAGUCAAGAUCCUACAACAGCCAUCAUGGUGACUCUUCCUCUUUUCCUCCUCUUCAUCCUUUUGCCCUGCAGUAAAUCUCAGGAAUUUCUGGACCAGCAUCAGAAAUGGAACUACAGAGAAGGCGCUGACAAGGUCAACAUAGAAGGUGUUUACAGCAUUACUCAAACCCUCGAGAAGUGGGGAAAUGACAUCUUCUGGCAAAUGAAGCAUACCCUGCUGAACAACCCAAAUGCUCUCCUGCCUGAGUUCUCCAGGUAAUUCAUCGCAUCUGGAAGUGGGAUUCAGUCCUCUCCUGGGUGUCCUUCCCUGAGCAGGAUUCAUCUUCUUAAAGAUGAAUUUUUGUAUUUCUCAGCUGGGAGGAAAUAAAACACAUUAUCUCAG